rnacentral:rRNA from 1 species
CCUACGGGAGGCAGCAGUGAGGAAUAUUGGUCAAUGGACGAGAGUCUGAACCAGCCAAGUAGCGUGAAGGAUGACUGCCCUACGGGUUGUAAACUUCUUUUAUAUGGGAAUAAAUUGUUCCACGUGUGGGACUUUGUAUGUACCAUAUGAAUAAGGAUCGGCUAACUCCGUGCCAGCAGCCGCGGUAAUACGGAGGAUCCGAGCGUUAUCCGGAUUUAUUGGGUUUAAAGGGAGCGUAGGUGGAUUGUUAAGUCAGUUGUGAAAGUUUGGGGCUCAACCGGAAAAUUGCAGUUGAAACUGGCAGUCUAGAGUACAGUAGAGGUGGGCGGAAUUCGUGGUGUAGCGGUGAAAUGCUUAGAUAUCACGAAGAACUCCGGUUGCGAAGGCAGCUCCCUGGACUGCAACUGACGCUGAGGCUCGAAAGUGUGGGUAGCAAACAGGAUUAGAUACCCCAGUAGUC